rnacentral:rRNA from 1 species
UACGGGAGGCAGCAGUGGGGAAUAUUGCACAAUGGGCGAAAGCCUGAUGCAGCUAUGCCGCGUGUAUGAAGAAGGCCUUAGGGUUGUAAAGUACUUUCAUCGGGGAGGAAAAAACAAAACUAAUAAUUUUAUUUCUUGACGUUACCCGAAAAAGAAGCACCGGCUAACUCUGUGCCAGCAGCCGCGGUAAUACGGAGGGUGCUAGCGUUAAUCAGAAUUACUGGGCGUAAAGAGCACGUAGGUGGGUUUUUUUAAGUUCAGAUGUGAAAUCCCUGGGCUUAACCUAGGAACUGCAUUUUUGAAACUGAAAUACUAGAGUAUCGUAGAGGGAGGUAGAAUUCUAGGUGUAGCGGUGAAAUGCGUAGAUAUCUGGAGGAAUACCUGUGGCGAAAGCGGCCUCCUAAACGAAUACUGACACUGAGGGUGCGAAAGCGUGGGGAGCAAACAGGGAUUAGAUACC